rnacentral:rRNA from 1 species
AGGAAUAUUGGUCAAUGGGCGAGAGCCUGAACCAGCCAAGUAGCGUGAAGGAUGACUGCCCUAUGGGUUGUAAACUUCUUUUAUAAAGGAAUAAAGUCGGGUAUGCAUACCCGUUUGCAUGUACUUUAUGAAUAAGGAUCGGCUAACUCCGUGCCAGCAGCCGCGGUAAUACGGAGGAUCCGAGCGUUAUCCGGAUUUAUUGGGUUUAAAGGGAGCGUAGAUGGAUGUUUAAGUCAGUUGUGAAAGUUUGCGGCUCAACCGUAAAAUUGCAGUUGAUACUGGAUAUCUUGAGUGCAGUUGAGGCAGGCGGAAUUCGUGGUGUAGCGGUGAAAUGCUUAGAUAUCACGAAGAACUCCGAUUGCGAAGGCAGCCUGCUAAGCUGCAACUGACAUUGAGGCUCGAAAGUGUGGGUAUCAAACAGGAUUAGAUACCCUGGUAGUCCACACGGUAAACGAUGAAUACUCGCUGUUUGCGAUAUACGGCAAGCGGCCAAGCGAAAGCGUUAAGUAUUCCACCUGGGGAGUACGCCGGCAACGGUGAAACUCAAAGGAAUUGACGGGGGCCCGCACAAGCGGAGGAACAUGUGGUUUAAUUCGAUGAUACGCGAGGAACCUUACCCGGGCUUAAAUUGCAGAUGAAUUACGGUGAAAGCCGUAAGCCGCAAGGCAUCUGUGAAGGUGCUGCAUGGUUGUCGUCAGCUCGUGCCGUGAGGUGUCGGCUUAAGUGCCAUAACGAGCGCAACCCUUAUCGAUAGUUACCAUCAGGUUAUGCUGGGGACUCUGUCGAGACUGCCGUCGUAAGAUGUGAGGAAGGUGGGGAUGACGUCAAAUCAGCACGGCCCUUACGUCCGGGGCUACACACGUGUUACAAUGGGGGGUACAGAAGGCAGCUACACGGCGACGUGAUGCUAAUCCCUAAAGCCUCUCUCAGUUCGGAUUGGAGUCUGCAACCCGACUCCAUGAAGCUGGAUUCGCUAGUAAUCGCGCAUCAGCCACGGCGCGGUGAAUACGUUCCCG